UACGUAGGGAGCGAGCGUUGUCCGGAAUCAUUGGGCGUAAAGAGCAUGUAGGUGGAUCAAUUAGUCUGCUGUGAAAGUCAAGGGCUCAACCUUUGAAAGCCGGUGGAUACUGUUGGUCUAGAGUACGGAAGAGGCGAGUGGAAUUCCUGGUGUAGCGGUGGAAUGCGCAGAUAUCAGGAGGAACACCAAUAGCGAAGGCAGCUCGCUGGGACGUUACUGACACUGAGAUGCGAAAGCGUGGGGAGCGAUCCGG
rnacentral:rRNA from 1 species